GAUGAACGCUGGCGGCGUGCCUAAUACAUGCAAGUCGAGCGAACAGACGAGGAGCUUGCUCCUCUGACGUUAGCGGCGGACGGGUGAGUAACACGUGGAUAACCUACCUAUAAGACUGGGAUAACUUCGGGAAACCGGAGCUUAUACCGGAUAAUAUAUUGAACCGCAUGGUUCAAUAGUGAAAGACGGUUUUGCUGUCACUUAUAGAUGGAUCCGCGCCGCAUUAGCUAGUUGGUAAGGUAAAGGCUUACCAAGGCAACGAUGCGUAGCCGACCUGAGAGGGUGAUCGGCCACACUGGAACUGAGCCAAGGUCCAGACUCCUACGGGAGGCAGAAGUCGGGAAUCUUCCGCAAUGGGCGAAAGCCUGACGGAGGAACGCCGCGUGAGUGAUGAAGGUCUUCGGAUCGUAAAACUCUGUUAUUAGGGACGAACAAAUGUGUAAGUAAAUAUGCACGUCUUGACGGUACCUAAUCAGAAAGCCACGGCUAACUACGUG
rnacentral:rRNA from 1 species